GCGCGAAACCUCCGCAAUGCGGGAAACCGCGACGGGGGGACCCCGAGUGCCGUGGCAACGCCACGGCUUUUCCGGAGUGUAAAAAGCUCCGGGAAUAAGGGCUGGGCAAGGCCGGUGGCAGCCGCCGCGGUAAUACCGGCGGCCCGAGUGGUGGCCGCUAUUAUUGGGCCUAAAGCGUCCGUAGCCGGGCCCGUAAGUCCCUGGCGAAAUCCCACGGCUCAACCGUGGGGCUUGCUGGGGAUACUGCGGGUCUUGGGACCGGGAGAGGCGGGGGGUACCCCUGGGGUAGGGGUGAAAUCCUAUAAUCCCAGGGGGACCGCCAGUGGCGAAGGCGCCCCGCUGGAACGGGUCCGACGGUGGGGGACGAAGGCCAGGGGAGCAAACCGGAUUAGAUGCCCGGGUAGUCCUGGCUGUAAAGGAUGCGGGCUAGGUGUCGGGUGAGCCUCGAGCUCGCCCGGUGCCGUAGGGAAGCCGUUAAGCCCGCCGCCUGGGGAGUACGGCCGAAGGCUGAAACU
rnacentral:rRNA from 1 species